ensembl:misc_RNA Metazoa_SRP Metazoan signal recognition particle RNA
GCCGGGCGUGGUGGCUCACGCCUGUAAUCCCAGCACUUUGGGAGGCCGAGGCAGGCGGAUCACCUGAGGUCGGGAGUUCGAGACCAGCCUGACCAACACGGAGAAACCCUGUCUCUA